rnacentral:rRNA from 1 species
CAGCAGCCGCGGUAAUACGUAGGGGGCGAGCGUUACCCGGAUUCACUGGGCGUAAAGGGGUGUAGGCGGCUUGGCAAGUCGGGUGUGAAAUCCCACGGCUCAACCGUGGAAUUGCGCCCGAAACUGCCAAGCUUGGGGCCGGUAGAGGGAGACGGAACUGCCGGUGUAGGGGUGAAAUCCGUAGAUAUCGGCAGGAACGCCGGUGGGGAAGCCGGCCUCCUGGGCCGCGCCCGACGCUGAGGCCCGAAAGCUAGGGGAGCAAACCGGAUUAGAUACCCGGGUAGUCCUAGCCGUAAACGAUGCCCACUAGGUGUGGGGGAGUAUUUCCUCCGUGCUGUAGCUAACGCGUUAAGUGGGCCGCCUGGGGAGUACGCCCGCAAGGGUGAAACUUAAAGGAAUUGGCGGG